rnacentral:rRNA from 1 species
GGUUUGAUUAUGGCUCAGAUUGAACGCUGGCGGGAUGCUUUACACAUGCAAGUCGAACGGCAGCACGGACUUCGGUCUGGUGGCGAGUGGCAGACGGGUGAGUAAUGUAUCGGAACGUGCCUAGUAGCGGGGGAUAACUACGCGAAAGCGUAGCUAAUACCGCAUACGCCCUUCGGGGAAAGCGGGGGACCUUCGGGCCUCGCACUAUUAGAGCGGCCGAUAUCAGGAUUUAGCUAGUUGGUGGGGUAACGGCUCGCAAGGCGACGAUCCGUAGCUGGUUUGAGAGGACGACCAGCCACACUGGGACUGAGACGGCCCAGACUCCUACGGGAGGCAGCAGUGGGGAAUUUUGGACAAUGGAAACGAUUAGCCAUCCGCGUGUGCGAUGAAGGCCUUCGGGUUGUAAAGCACUUUUGGCAGGAAAGAAACGGCACGGGAUAAUACCCGAUGCAACUGACGGUGCCUGCAGAAUAAGCACCGGCUAACUACGUGCCAGCAGCCGCUAGUGUACGUGAGGUGCAAGCGUUAAUCGGAAUUACUGGGCGUAAAGCGUGCGCAGGCGGUUCGGAAGAAAGAUGUGAAAUCCCAGAGCUUAACUUUGGAACUGCAUUUUUAACUACCGAGCUAGAGUGUGUCGAGAGUGGAAUUCACGUGUAGCAGUGAAAUGCGUAGAUAUGCGGAGGAACACCGAUGGCGAAGGCAGCCUCCUGGGAUAACACUGACGCUCAUGCACGAAAGCGUGGGGAGCAAACAGGAUUAGAUACCCUGGUAGUCCACGCCCUAAACGAUGUCAACUAGCUGUUGGGGCCUUCGGGCCUUGGUAGCGCAGCUAACGCGUGAAGUUGACCGCCUGGGGAGUGAUUACGGUCGCAAGAUUAAAACUCAAAGGAAUUGACGGGGACCCGCACAAGCGGUGGAUGAUGUGGAUUAAUUCGAUGCAACGCGAAAACCUUACCUACCCUUGACAUGUCUGGAAUCCCGAAGAGAUUUGGGAGUGCUCGCAAGAGAACCGGAACACAGGUGCUGCAUGGCUGUCGUCAGCUCGUGUCGUGAGAUGUUGGGUUAAGUCCGCAACGAGCGCAACCCUUGUCAUUAGUUGCUACGAGGCACUCUAAUGAGACUGCCGGUGACAAACCGGAAGGUGGGGAUGACGUCAAGUCCUCUUGGCCCUUAUGGGUAGGGCUUCACACGUCAUACAAUGGUCGGGACAGAGGGUCGCCAACCCGCGAGGGAAUAAUCCCAGAAACCCGAUCGUAGUCCGGAUCGCAGUCUGCAACUCGACUGCGUGAAGUCGGAAUCGCUAGUAAUCGCGGAUCAGCAUGUCGCGGUGAAUACGUUCCGGGUCUUGUACACACCGCCCGUCACACCAUGGGAGUGGGUUUUACCAGAAGUAGUUAGCCUAACCGUAAGGAGGGCGAUUACCACGGUAGGAUUCAUGACUGGGGUGAAGUCGUAACAAAGGUAG